rnacentral:lncRNA from 1 species
CUGGAACACUUAUAUUUAAGCAGUUCUUUCGAGAUCAAAUUGCACUCGUAACGCAAUACUGGUGUAUAAGAAAUAGAUAACAAUUGUUAAUAGCACACAUCAGCCGUAGACUUAUGAUUCCUGAUGGAUAACAUCUGUAUAAGGUUGCUUUUCGAAGUUGUAGCGCCCUACCAUUUCGUUUCCUUCGAAACAGAAAUUGAGCGUCUGCAAUUGUGAACGCGUUUUUCUCGCUUUUUCGUCGCUGGUGAAACUGCUGCCAUCGCUGCCGCGUAUCUUCUGUGUUGUGUGUCCUUGAGCUGACCCUUUGUUCGCCAGAGCAAAGAACUCGAAAGCGCGCGUCCCGGCAGCACCGCAACUGGUGCCGCCAAUGUGUGCUGCUUCUGCUGUUACCUUUGCCUCCGAUUCUGCAUCUCGUUAAUUUCACCGCCAACUCACGGUUUUCGUUGACAACAACAGCCGUCGCCAUCGACACCAGCGCCACAUUGACGGCGAAGUUGAUGACGCUGACGAUAACGACGUCCCAGGGUUCGACAUUAUAGCUAUUUCACCAGGUGCUCUUUUGUCGUUUUUAUUCUUGUCGGCUGGUUGGCCUUUUGUCUGUGACUGACUUGAUUGGUGACCACUGCAGGCAACUGUGGACCAAAACGCGUAGGCCAGAUAUCUCUGGCUGGCUCGGCCACUCAUUCAUCCGUGCAUUCAUUCACUCGCUGGGAGUAAAGAAAGACAGAAAAUGGAGCCCAACACCCAGUUCCUUGCUGCCGACGUCAUUGCAACCUCAGCAACGACGUCAAGUGACAAACGAGUAGGAUGCUAGUAGUGAGAUAGGUAGCGGACGGGCAUAAAACUUGAUUUUUGGGGGGCGCUGGGGACAACGAGUGUUGAUCUGUUAUUAAACGAUUACUCAUGUCAAAGCCAUUUCCACUGCUUUGCCAGUAGUAGUAGCAGCAGCAGUAAACGAACGAACUCCCGCUCGCACGACUUCUCGCCGCCAGUUCGUCUACGCGGGUGGGCUGCCUUUGGUUAACUUCGCUCUAAAGUCGUGUUGUUACUUAUGGGUAUUACAUUUAAUAGUUUGUCAAUCAAUGCCAAUCGAUGAUUAUUCCUUCAAUACUACUGUUGCAAUAUACCAUGAACGUAGGAACGGAUGAAAUGCAGUGCGAGGAGAAGUACAUGUGAGAAUCAUACCAACUUAAUCUAACAAUUCACGCUAAACUCUUUUUUCCUUUUUUUUUUUUAUUUUUCUAAAGAUUCCAAUGUACUACGUAAUGCUCGAUUACAUGAUCAAUAAAGAAAUUAACUAUUUUAUUCAAAGAAGGAUUGCCUAAACUGACUUCGGAGCGGAACGUUUGCACCUAUGUUUAGUAUCUGCUCAUCUAAAAAUUACUUUUCAGAAUUAAUCGUUUAGUGAAAACCUAUUUGUCUCUCUAUAUGCCAUCACAAUCUCCUUUCGCUCGCACAAACCAUAUUUGCCUUAUGGAUGAAUGGAAGAGAAAAAAGGUACCAUUUCAAAGAUACUCACUUACGUCAUUGAUUUAUGUAGUCUUAAUCCGGUUGAAUUUAAAAAGCCAAUUAGUACAAAAACUAAUUAAGUUUUAGAUAAGCAAGCGUAGCCAACUCUGAAAUGCCAUUACAGUUACCACAAAUAUGACGCACUUCGGACAGCAAAUUUUUGAUCUUUUCUGUCGUAUGCCUACCAUUCCACUAAAUGAAAAUCGAUAAAUCACGUUAAAACUAACUCUUUCGUGCACCAUGAUAACCACUCUAACUUAUUGAAGUUCAUGAGGUUUUUCAAGGAUUUCAUAGACUUUUGGGGUGUUAGUCUCCCUUGCACUCAAAGGUAAAGCGGUUCUUCUCAUAAUUUUUAUUAUGCGGUGUGGAUGGCUUAGACCCUGACAGCUGCAUUGAGAGAGCCUACAUAAUAGUGACGAUGGCUUUCUCCUUGGAAGCUCUUUAAUUGUCCAAUUUCGUAAGCUGUCGCCGUUAUUAUUUGUCGCUACAUAGUAGAAUUGUGUAUCAUUUCGAGUUGAACCACCUUAACUAACGUGACACUUAGCUUGCAGUUGUUGUAAAUAACAACACUUAUAGCAGUACACAAAGAGCUAGGUUUAAUUUUUAUGUCUGUUUGCUUAUAUAGAAAUUCAACCAUAUUUAUAAAUAUAACUGUAUAACAUCAGUUAAUUUCCCCUGCAUUGUCUGACUUAUGCCACAUACAGCUUGGAAUGUUCAUUUCGUGAGUAAUAAUUUGUUCGUUUAAUAUAAUCUUAAUAUAUAUAUAUAUAUAUAUAUAUAUAUAUAUGCAAAGAUAGGAAUAUGGUUCAAUCGUUAAUGAUCAACGAAGUUAGUCAUUAUGAUUGUUAUGUGAGGUACGAUGUUUUGCCCUCGAGGUAGGCGGAUGUAUUGGAUAGGGUAAAACACGCACUCAGCGACUUGUUACCUACCUCUAAAGAUCGAAUCUAGACUGUCUCGCUCUUCAAUAUAACAAUACUGGUCGGUAACACCGAUGCCUAUUUAUAUGUCCUGCUGAGAUCAGUUGGAAACUCACAGCAUGUAUGAACGCCACUUUUUGAAUUUGCCGCCAUUGCCUGUACUCAUUUAACUCACUAGUGUAAAUGGCAAUAACACUUUGCCAGUAACGGAUUACAAAUAUAAAAUGGAUCACUAUCUUUUUUUUAUCGGUAUAAUAAAUAUCAUCUGAUUUGCCCGACAUAAGCCAUUUCGAGUUCGGAUAAAUAUAGAAGCGGUCAAGGACAAUUGCUUUUUUGCUACUUAAGCGAUGAGCGAAACUAAGGGCUUUUGAAGCUAAUCAGGGCACUUGCUACCCGACAAGUACGAACACGACCUCAAACAGUCAAAUUGUCUCUCAGCUGUCCUAAUCAUCGUAGAGGGAUUCCAUACGUGAAAGAGAAUAGAGAUUUGAAAUAUAAAAAAAAUUUAUGUGUCGAAUGCAGUCCAGUCAGUUUUAAUGCAGUCUGGAAUCUGUUGAAACCGCCUCCAGGCAAUGAUUACGUGAUUAGUCAAGGGAUACAAAUUUGUCCACAUCGUAAGCGUAUACUCCGUUAUCUCAAUAUAGACACUCGGUAUUGGUGUUAUGGUAAGUGUAUUGCACUACAACAAAUGAAUAUAGAAUUUUCCCUAAGGAGUAAGGUUUAUUCGCAUAAAAGAAGCGUCGAUCUGUUUUCACGUCAAUAUGCACAUAAUAAUAUGCACAUAGAGCCAAUAUUACUUUCACCACAAAUAUUCUGAAAAGUCAAGCACCGCCAUCACUUUCUUGUAUAUACUUUGACAUGCUUAAAUAUAUAAAGAUAAUUAAAUUACGUUGAAACAGAGCUCUGGCGUCAUGAGCUACACCGAGACUCAGUGGAGCAAGUAACACCAGCUCGGAAAAAUUGGGCAGCUUUUCGUAGGAAAGAAGUUUGGGCCUUGCAUUUGGAGAGGGACGAAAGAAGGCUCUAGGGGAAGCGUACUCUCUUUUGCAGCUGUUACCACCUGCAGCCGCGUCAUUCCUCGCCACGACAACGGAAAUCUGGUGGUCUUUGACCCCUUGAAAGCCUUGGCACUGUGCUUCUAUACUAAACGACUAGUACCCUCUUUUGGAGUUGACCCAAUAUGACUUCUGUAUUUGUACGUCUACAUAAACGAAAAAGGAAAAUCCACAUGGACGACAGGAUUCAUUAUGCAAAAAUCGUUCCAUGUAGUAGGUACAGAGUAUAAAAGAGGUCUAAGUUUGCUCGAAACCUGUUAUACAAGGCACUGAUAUAGAUUCUUUCAGCGAAUAAAAUCUAUAAAUAAACCUAAUUUUAAGAUCUAAAUUAACUUCUUUCCCUUUUUAUGAUAUAUGUGUCGUAUAAUGAGAUUCCAAGUUUGUUAAAUCUGAGUGCAGACAAGACGAAUAGCCUGUCAAGGUAAAAAUAUUUCUAAUGUCAAUAGUUUAUUUCGUGUUUGUAUUCUCUCUAGUAUCUUAUUUACUACCAGUAGAGGAUUUUUGCAUUUCUAUGGUUUUGAAAGCUAUCUAUAGCUUUACCAAUACCUAUAUCAGAGGUAAGAGAGCUUGGACCCAGCUUGGAUUAAACAUGCUUUUUAUAUAUAUUUUCAUUGCGACGAUGUGAACAGAGCAAUACUGAUAAUUAAAAAAAAUCCAAACAAGAGAAGCCACAUAUUAAUAUUACGUCUUAUUUAAGACAACCUAUUCAGAUUUAUUUAAGAGAUCCUAUCAGAUAUAAGAUGUGCGCUUUCGUGAUUCACUAACCUGAAUUACACUGCGAUAAGACAGCCUUGUUUUGACAGACAGAGUUUCAUGUAGAAUACAUUUUUAAGAUGUCACACCACGGUAUUUAAUCCUUUGUUAAUUUUACCAACGACAUUUUAAAACGAACGCUUUAGAAAAGUUGAUAAUAUGAAGCAAGGAGCUUCUUGAUAGAAAAAUGACAAAAAUAUAUAAAGCGUAGUAGCUACAUUUCAUGAUUCACCUGGUUUAACCUUAGUUCUUUGGAUCUAGAAAAAUACGGUAUCAAAAGAUACGUCUACUUUAUGGUCAGCAUUCCUUAUGAAAAAGAAUACGAGCAAUACGUUUUAUUUCAACUUCGUUAGUACACUUGAAUACGUUAUUUUGAAAACAUUUAUUCGUUUGUGUUUUGCGAACUGUAUAUAUUUACGAAUACAUUCUUUCGUUUACGUCUUCGGUUUGUGUUGCUUUGAUUUGGUACCAGAAAGGACUAGUCCCCUCCCAAAAAUUUCCGACUGUUUAUAACGAUUUUCAGGUGAUGCAAUACAAAUCUUUACUUUCAGCUUGAAAAGCCCACUAAAAGGAUUCCAAACUUUUUCUUUUUAUUAACAAUGCAUAUUGGGUAGUUUGCACCAUGACCAGAUGCAACUGUAAACUUUCACUCGUCAACAAAUAGAAUACUACUUUGUGGAUACGGCCGCUUCCCCCCUGGCAUUUACUUAAGAAGCCGAGAGCUUGGAUGUGUGUAUAUUUUCUCGUUCACGGCUGCGCUCAGCUGUGAGCAGGGGGCGCCUAGGUAAGAGGCCUAUAUCGUUUUGGUCGUCACCAGUGCCCUUCACAGAGCAACUUCAGCAGACUGCUAUUAGCUACUGUAGGCACCAAUAGUGAACCGGGAGAGAAGGACUAGACGUAAUAACAGCACCAGCUACACCAAUAGCGUCGAAGAGCAACCGGGCAGGAUGUCUUCGGUAACAAAUUUGAACGGGUUUGAGGCAGUGGUCGUGAUAGUCGGUUUCCUAUCCCCGCAGACAGGUAGAAACCCGGAGACGGCGACCACAUAUAGUAGUACCCAUAUACAUACAACAUAUAUAUAUAUAUAUACGUUCGUACAUGUUGUUAUCGGAACUGUU